CCCCGCUCAACCCCCAGUGAAGGGCUAAUUUCCGUAAACGUGCCUUAAUUAAACGUUAUCUUCGUACACCGCGGUGAAGAUAGCAACAGUGUUAGUGGGGUUUCUCGACCCAUUUCGUUUGACAGAUCGAGAAUGGUCGACUCUGUUGGUCGAUUAAGUAAUACGGCGUCGAUGAAGACGUUAGGAGGCUCGCCAGACUAAUUGUUACUGGGGAAUGAUAGCGGAGUAGAGAAACAUGAAGUUUCGGUAGAGGUGAUUAAUCCGUCCGAAUCCUUGAAUGCAACACGUGUGAUUAUACAGUAUGCAUUUAUGAUUGCAUCCCACGGAGAAGCAUUUGCCCAGUAGCCGGUGACACGUUACACGUACACGUGCACCUACGUUACACGUAAACCACCAGACUGACUGCAGAGUUUGAUAACAGAGUUUGGCAAACCUGGAGGUAUUCCCUUUGAGACAGCAUAUACCGUACAGAGAAUCUGUCAUUUGCAUUUCAUCUGGAUAUAUGGACCCAAUGGCGUAGACAACGUAAGGCGACAAAGUGGAAAUUCAGUAAUGAGGGGUUGUCGGAUGAGCCACGAUGUUAACGUUAUAGUCGACUUCAUCUGGAAAGAUUCGUUAUGAAUGAGCUUAAUGGUUCCUGUUAUCUCAAAUAGGGACCCAAUGGCGUAGACAACUUACGGCGACAAAGUGGAAAUUCAGUAAUGAGGGGUUGUCGGAUGAGCCACGGUGUUAACGUUACAGUCGACUUCAUCUGGAAAGAUUCGUUAUGAAUGAGCUUGAUGGUUCUUGUUAUCUGAAAUAGGUUUUUACCUAUUCGUUAUGAAUGAGCUUCUUGAUGGUUCCUGUCAUCUGAAAUAGGUUUUUACCGAGGCUACGCUCUUGUCAAUCUCAUGUAAAGCAACUAUCGUUGAUUAAAUAACUUAAAUAAUAACUUAAUUAAAUAACUCCAGUAAGUAGCAGCAAAACUGAAGUUCUGGCUAGAACAGUCUGGAGUGGGCUUAUCGCUAUUAUCAAAUGGACUUUCUGAUGGGGAUAAUUAAAGCCAUCUUAAUUAUCAUUAUUAUUGCAACAGGUGAAAGAAAUCCAUAGCCUCUCACCUCUUUUUAGUCCACCAUUUAAGGUCGUCCAUGUUUAUCGCUUCCGUUAUAAAAAUUGUUACCAGUGGCGCCAUCAAGCGUUCACUUUGGCAAGAAGCAAGUAGCUGUCGUCGAGACCAAUAUCAGGAAGUCGUCCCGACGCCAUUUUGAGAGAAGAAAAGUACGUGGUCGUCCGUAAAGCACUUCCGCGAGGCAGUGCGAGCUACGGUAGUGUACGUUGGAGGAUCUAUUGUCUGAAGAAAAAAAAAAAUCCAACCAUCAAGCAAAGCUACGUGGGAUGAAAAUCUACGUGGUAAAAGUGACAAGUUUUCAUACCGUAAAAACGCAAAAGUGGUUUCGUCGUCCGCUACACCGUGAGACGUAAGAAUUGUCGCCUGAGCCCAAGCGUGUAAUUUAUGAAAGCAUAAGUAUGAUACAAGCCGUAUAUAAAAGAAAUAAAUGAUCCUUAGUCCGUUAGGUAAUAGUUCUGUCAAUUCGUAUUGACCGAAUAACGUAUUGUGUUAUUGGUCUUAAAGUUUUAAUAAAAUUGUUCUGCUUACCGUUAUGGGAACUAA